UGCCCGGAGCUUCCCUCCAGGCCAUUCAAGAUCCCCAAGUCGUCCUCGCGCUUGGGCCCGGGCAGCCUCUGACCAGGACAGCCGUCGAGGAACCAGCUGGGGACGUUUACCUCGGGGCUCCAGCCUCGCCCAGGACACCCUGGUGCUGCCACCAUGCGUGCCUCAGUGGGCCUGCUGCUCCUGGUCCUGCUUCCCCUGCUGCCCUGUGUCCCUGGGCUGCCCUUCUAUAAUGGCUUCUACUACAGCCCCAGUGGCAGGAACCUUGGCAACGGCCACGGGGAAGGCCUCUUCAAUGGAGUGAAGCUGGUGGUGGAGACGCCUGAGGAGACCCUGUUCACCCACCAAGGCACCAGUGUGACCCUGCCCUGCCGCUACCACUACAAACCGGCCCUGGUGUCCCCAAGGCCUGUGCGCAUCAAAUGGUGGAAGCUGUCAGAGAAUGGAGCCCCGGAGCAGGACGUGCUGGUGUCUAUUGGGCAGAGGCAGCGCUCCUUCGGGGACUAUCAAGGACGUGUGCACCUGCUGCAGGACCGGGAGCUCGAGGCCUCACUGGAGUUGCAGGACCUUCAGCCUGAGGACUCCGGGCGCUACCGCUGUGAGGUCAUCGAUGGGCUGGAGGAUGAGAGCGGCGUGGUGGAGCUAGAACUGCGGGGUGUGGUCUUUCCCUAUCAGCCCUCCCAGGGCCGCUACAAGCUCAACUUCCCAAAGGCACAGCAGGCCUGUGAGGAGCAGGAUGCAGUGGUAGCCUCUUUUGAGCAGCUCUUCCGUGCCUGGGAGGAGGGCCUGGACUGGUGCAAUGCUGGCUGGCUGGAGGAUGGCUCUGUGCAGUACCCCAUCACCCUGCCACGGGAGCCCUGUGGGGGCCUGGGUCUGGCACCUGGUGUGCGCAGCUACGGCCCACGCCACCACCGCCUGUCCCGCUAUGACGUGUUCUGCUUCACCGCUGCCCUCAAGGGGCAGGUGUACUACCUGGAGCACCCGGAGAAGCUGACGCUGACAGAGGCUCGUGAGGCCUGCCGGGAAGAUGGCGCCCACAUCGCCAAGAUCCUGAUGCUCUGCUCUGCUUUUGGACUCAGGCUACCAACUUAUUCUUCCCAUGGCUGCUGACAGUGUGACAGCAAAGAGCCAAAUGAGGUGGCCAGCCCUGCUCCAGAGCCCUGGAAGGGGACUGGCUGGUUUUCCUGAGAACUGUUGCUACUGCUGCUGCCGCCAUCUUGGAAUAUGCUGAACCAAGGAUCCAGAGAGGGGUUGUCUUGGAUGUGUGUGAAUCCUGAUUGCCAAGCUUGGAGCUGUGGAACCAGGCUUCCCAGCAGGUAGAAGAAAUUUGGUACUUGUGAAGUCAAACGCCUUUGGGAGAGUGAGUGUGACAUUCUUCCCAGAUACUUUCUCUUAUGUGAACCAGGGAAACAAGCAACCUGGAAGGGAUCUGCAGAGUACAGAUUCAUGAGACAAUGGCCAUGUGGGAUAUUUGCAUGAGACCCAUUAGCCUUUUGAAUCACAAUGUCCAGAUCAGCUCCAUCCUAGGCAGUUAUGACAAGCAUUUGAAGCUGGCCAGGUACUUAGAAGGUGGCUGUUCACCAACAGUGGGGUGGAAUAUAGGCUUUCCACCAGCUUCUUCUGGCUCUUUGUCCCUUUUCUUCUUCUGGACCUGAGAUGUUCUUUCUGGUCAAAGUUCUCUGCAGGAAUCAAACUGGUAAGUCAUUGACCUUUGCCUCAAGUAGUCAAGAACUCUAGUUCUAGUAGUAUCUCUAGUCUAGUCUCUCUGCGUCUUUUUGAAAAUCCAGAAUACCUCAGGAUAUAUUCUGCUCUCUUUGUGUUUGUAUUCCAAAGCUCUUGCUGUUUUUUUUUUUCCUGGGUUCCCUCCCCUAGGAGCAUGAUAAAGGGUUUUAUGCAGUUCCUUUUGCCAGGAGAUCAAUAAAAUUCAGCAACAAGCAGGCUCCACAGGUUUACGGGGCAUCAAGAUAUGUCGCUGAAAGAACGCUAAGUCUUGGUGUGUACUGCUGAGCUCAUAUGACCUUCAGGAUCCGAGGAGAUGUCGAUCGGGUGGUCUUCACUGAGCCUAUUUUGGGAAUAGGGCCCCUGAGUCCUAGAUAUGUUCCAGGACUUAGUUCUUACCUCCCAUAGAGAAAACCAAAUCUUAAAGUCAAGCCUCUGAUAGGACGGCAAACACCUUUUCCUCUGGAUCUUCACACUUGUGUGUAGCAAACAUCCCGGGUUUGUGCAGUGGGUGAGCCCCAAAAUCCCUGGUUCUUGUUGUCUCAUGAAGCUCCUGAUCUCUGGUUCUCUCUCUUCCUAUUAGGUCCUUAGCUUCAUUUCAUGGAGUGCACACCAUGGAUUAGAAACCAACAGUUCCAAGCAAACCCAAAAUGCAUGGAGGAACUGGCUGAAAUCCCAGCAUGCACUUGGAGUCCCAGCAUGCACCAGGAUUCCCAGCAGCAGCAGUAGCAGCAAUAGGUCAGGGGACAAAUCUGAGAAGUCUUCAGGGACUGAAGGAACCAAAUCCUGGCCUCAGGAGCUGUUUUUUCACAGGGCCCUGAAUUCACAGGUGAGGAGGGAAGGAGGGGCCAGCAUCCUGAAGACCAGGUAGCCUUUAGAGGGGCUGAGUGAGUCUUCAGCAGUGCAGAGGGGGCCGGUAUCCUAGGGCCUUUCUCAUUAGCUGCUCAGGCCAGUGGCACUGCAUCUCCUCUUCCUCUGGCUGCAAGAGCCACUCUGGACCUGGCUGCCCACAUCUUUCCGUGAAGGGCAGUGGGGACAGUCCUCGGCUUCUGGGAUGAAGAGAGGAGUUGAGCGAGGUCCAGCUGUGAGCUUAUUCUGGGGAGUUUCAGACAAAGGGACAGCAGGUGGGGGAGGGAAGGGCUCUGGGCACGGGCAGACUUAGUGAAAGAAGGAAGGAAAGGACAGGGAGCAGGGUCUGAGCAGAUGCUGCUGAUUCUCAAGGGCCCAGACGUCAUCACACUAAGUGAAGAGCAGAAGAGAUGGAGGAGUCCGGAAAUGACACAGAGCAUCCAGCCUUUGUCCUACAUUGGGGGAGAGAGCCGGCAUGACUCUCAGCACCUCGUUACCAUUUCUGCUACAGCCACCAAAGGCUCACCCAUCAUCACUGGGGUUCUCUUCCCACUAGAUAACUGAAAGGGAUGGUUUGUUCCUGAACAAGGCCCUCCAGUCAAAUCUCUAAUGUAGGAGAGAAAAUAACUGAGCGCCCCCUGGUAAAGGCUAGAGGAGGAGAGAUACUUGCAAAUAAUCACUCUGGUGUCUGACCUAGAGACCUCAGACCUCUAUCUUGAAUAGUCAUGUCCAGUUAUGCCUGGAUCAGAGCCUAGGACCUUCAAGUGAGCAAGAAAUGUAAAUGGAGAGUGACAGCAGGUGGUUUUACUCAAGUGAUUCACAACUGAAUCAUAAGGAAUACUGUAUGAAUGUACUCUUCAAGUUAUUCAGUGCACAACCUGUACAGCUGUUUAUGAUGACCUGGGACAUAACUUUUUAGGACAAGGAUGGAAGUGAAUCCCUUCAAGAAGCAUAGAGAAAAUUUUUUAAAUCAAUGGGUGUUCUGCAUCCAGCAAAAAUCUAGGAUCAGUCAGGAUGGAGAGAUAAGUAGAUACAAUGACUUCCUGGUUGGGCCUCUUACACAACUGAGAGAAGAGUAUAUUUAUGCUGAGAGUGUAUUUAUCAGCCCCAAUUGCUCUUAAAAUAAAUAUCAUUAAAUUAGGGAGUAUGUUAUCUAUACUAUUUCAAUUCUUCUACAAUUUAGAGGUUGAUCUUACUUCAAUAUCUUGCAUCUUAAAUUCAACUAGGUGACCAUUAAAAUCUGCUGAUGGAUAUUUUGGUUAAGUCAAGAGGCUAUAAACUGAGUGUGGUGGCACAUGCCUGUAAUCUCAACAGUCUAGGAUGCUGAGG